CGUAGGCGGUUUGUUAAGUCAGCUGUGAAAGCCCCGGGCUCAACCUGGGAACUGCAGUUGAUACUGGCCGACUAGAGUACGAGAGAGGGAGGUAGAAUUCCACGUGUAGCGGUGAAAUGCGUAGAUAUGUGGAGGAAUACCGGUGGCGAAGGCGGCCUCCUGGCUCGAUACUGACGCUGAGGUGCGAAAGCGUGGGGAGCAAACA
rnacentral:rRNA from 1 species